UACGAGGGGGCGAGCGUUUGUUCGGAAUUAUUGGGCGUAAAGGGCGCGUAGGCGGUCGGAUAAGUCUUGUGUGAAAUCUUCGGGCUCAACUCGAAGUCUGCACAGGAAACUAUCUGGCUUGAGUGUGGGAGAGGUGAGUGGAAUUCCUGGUGUAGCGGUGAAAUGCGUAGAUAUCAGGAGGAACACCUGCGGUGUAGACGGCUUUCGUGGACCAUUGUUGACGCUGAGACACGAAAGCGUGGGUAGCAAACAGG
rnacentral:rRNA from 1 species